rnacentral:pre_miRNA from 11 species
ACCUUUGAAUUAGGGGUGAGAGGCAGCUCAGAGGGCUCGGGUAUUGAAAGACCCCCAGAGUGGGGAGACCCUCACUCAAGUCUCGGGAUAAGCGGAUGCCCCAAUAAUUCAAGAGAGACC